AAAAGAAGUCGUUUAUUAUUGUUUAUUGUUUGUUUGUUUGUUUUUUUUUUUUUUUUUUUUUUUGUUUGUU
rnacentral:ribozyme from 1 species